rnacentral:misc_RNA from 1 species
UUAACUAUUGUAUUUUUACUCAGACAACUAAUUGAUCGAGUUUGAUGAUCCUCUGACGGCCAAAACGCUGGAGAGCUCCAGAGGUGGUUGCCCACUGGUCCGCCAAAGCAACAAAGAAGGUUAAACAUUGGGUAAUAGGGUAACCCCAAAGACGGUCUUGCGACCGCCCGUGGCUACGAACUAUUUAACUGAUAAUGAUCCUUCCGCAGGUUCACCUACGGAAA